UGUCUUGUCGCCUCUCAUAUAUUGUCUGAUGUUCUUGCAGAUGUUAACCAUCGAGUCUUUGAAGAUCGAGAAGAAGAGACUGCUGCUUUUGAGCCAACGAAUGAUUGGUAAAGAGCUUGACGGUAUGAGUUACGCUGAGCUGUAUGUGUUGGGCUUUGAUAUAACGCGUGCUCUUAUGAACGUAAUGCAAGAGAUGGACAAGAUAAAA